rnacentral:snRNA from 12 species
AGCUUUGCACGGUGGCAGUAUUGUAACUAAUGAGGUUUAUCCGAGGCACGAUUAUUGCUAAUUGAAAGAAAAAAUAAUGGCCCCAAAGUGCAAGAGUAGUCAUGCUAGCAAUUCAGAUAUGACAACAAGCAGCCAGAAAGUGCUUCCUCUAAGUGAAAAGGUGAAAGUUCUCAAUUAAUAAGGAAAGAA